rnacentral:rRNA from 1 species
GACGAUGCGUAGGGGUUCUGAGAGGAAGGUCCCCCACACUGGUACUGAGACACGGACCAGACUCCUACGGGAGGCAGCAGUGAGGAAUAUUGGUCAAUGGGCGAGAGCCUGAACCAGCCAAGUCGCGUGAGGGAGUACUGCCCUAUGGGUUGUAAACCUCUUUUGUCGGGGAGCAAAAGCCGGACGUGUCCGUCUGUGAGAGUACCCGAAGAAAAAGCAUCGGCUAACUCCGUGCCAGCAGCCGCGGUAAUACGGAGGAUGCGAGCGUUAUCCGGAUUUAUUGGGUUUAAAGGGUGCGCAGGCGGAUUUUUAAGUCAGCGGUCAAAUCGUGGGGCUCAACCCCAUCCAGCCGUUGAAACUGGGGAUCUAGAGUGUGCGAGAGGUAUGCGGAAUGCGUGGUGUAGCGGUGAAAUGCAUAGAUAUCACGCAGAACCCCGAUUGCGAAGGCAGCAUACCGGUGCACAACUGACGCUCAGGCACGAAAGCGUGGGUAUCGAACAGGAUUAGAUACCCUGGUAGUCCACGCAGUAAACGAUGAAUGCUACCUGUUUGGCCAGAUUGAAGGCUGA